rnacentral:rRNA from 1 species
UACGUAGGGUGCAAGCGUUAAUCGGAAUUACUGGGCGUAAAGCGCGCGUAGGCGGCUUUUCAAGUCGGGCGUGAAAGCCCCGGGCUCAACCUGGGAAUGGCAAUGGAUACUGGCAAGCUAGAGUGCGGUAGAGGGUAGUGGAAUUCCCGGUGUAGCGGUGAAAUGCGUAGAGAUCGGGAGGAACACCAGUGGCGAAGGCGGCUACCUGGACCAGCACUGACACUGAGGCACGAAAGCGUGGGGAGCAAACAGG